UUCCUCCCUGACCUCCUGGUUUCUGUGCCCACAGCCACCUCCCCGUCCAGUCUGUGAGCACUCUGAGGGCGGUUAUAGUGCUGUGUGUGCAUUUGGCGCAUAAAAGAACAAUACGUGUGCAUGAGUGAAGCCUCUGGGGCAACAGAGGCCUCAGCCAGACCAUCUCCACCUGGUGGGAAAGGCAGCCUCCACUAUUAAAGAUCACAACCUGAAAGAAGAACCCAGUCCCUCUUCAUGUUCCUACAGCAAGAUGGGCUACACGUCCAUUUGACCAGUCACUCUGGACAGGAGAUGGGGCACCGUUAUUGUCCGAACCUUGACUACAGGGUCCAGUCCCACAGUCUUUUCAAGGUGUAAAUCCCUGCAGAAGGUUGCCAGAAUCCAGUCGACACCCCUGCUCGCUUCCACCCCCUGCCAACUCUUCGCCAUUUCGAAUCUCAUGGCAGGUAACCAUUAAUACUGUUUUCCUUUUGGCUGCCCAUUACGAUGGUAAAGGAAAAAUGCCGUUUCAGACG
rnacentral:lncRNA from 1 species